GAUGAACGCUGGCGGCGUGCUUAACACAUGCAAGUCGAACGGAAAGGCCCAAGCUUGCUUGGGUCCUCGAGUGGCGAACGGGUGAGUAACACGUGGGUGAUCUGCCCUGCACUUCGGGAUAAGCCUGGGAAACUGGGUCUAAUACCGGAUAGGACCACAUUUUGGAUGGUGUGGUGGAAAGUUUUUCGGUGUGGGAUGAGCUCGCGGCCUAUCAGCUUGUUGGUGGGGUAAUGGCCUACCAAGGCGUCGACGGGUAGCCGGCCUGAGAGGGUGUACAGCCACAUUGGGGAUGAGAUACGGCCCAGGCUCCUACGGGAGGCAGCAGGGGGGAAUAUUGCACAAUGGGCGCAAGCCUGAUGCAGCGACGCCGCGUGGGGGAUGACGGCCUUCGGGUUGUAAACUCCUUUCGCUAGGGACGAAGCGUUAUGUGACGGUACCUGGAGAAGAAGCACCGGCUAACUACGUG
rnacentral:rRNA from 1 species